rnacentral:misc_RNA from 1 species
UUAAGCCCAGAGACUGCAAGCUAUAGCUUUCAUCUUGGAAUCACUAAACAAAACCCAGUAACCCGAAAACUGAUCGCCGGCCAGCUGUUCUCCAAUCCAAAAAUGGUCAACUACUGAAUAAACAACUACCCAGAAUCUCAAAAGCUGAAAAAAUCCAAAUCAGAAAUGUGAAACAGUCUUAUAAUAAGGCUGCUAUAUAAGAAAUAAAAAUUCAGAGAAACAGAAACUGAGGGAGACAGAGAGACUUCGUGUGAAAGCUUUUUGGAGAGAGAGAGAGAGAGAGAGAGA